rnacentral:rRNA from 1 species
CUACGGGGCGCUGCAGUGGGGAAUAUUGCACAGUGGGCGCAAGCCUGAUGCAGCCAUGCCGCGUGUAUGAAGAAGGCCUUCGGGUUGUAAAGUACUUUCAGCGGGGAGGAAGGGAGUAAAGUUAAUACCUUUGCUCAUUGACGUUACCCGCAGAAGAAGCACCGGCUAACUCCGUGCCAGCAGCCGCGGUAAUACGGAGGGUGCAAGCGUUAAUCGGAAUUACUGGGCGUAAAGCGCACGCAGGCGGUUUGUUAAGUCAGAUGUGAAAUCCCCGGGCUCAACCUGGGAACGGCAUCUGAUACUGGCAAGCUUGAGUCUCGUAGAGGGGGGUAGAAUUCCAGGUGUAGCGGUGAAAUGCGUAGAGAUCUGGAGGAAUACCGGUGGCGAAGGCGGCCCCCUGGACGAAGACUGACGCUCAGGUGCGAAAGCGUGGGGAGCAAACAGGAUUAGAUACCCCCGUAGUC